rnacentral:siRNA from 1 species
UCACUUGGAAGAUCGGACAAUGUC